rnacentral:rRNA from 1 species
AUUGAACGCUGGCGGCAGGCCUAACACAUGCAAGUCGAGCGAGCGGCGGACGGGUGAGUAAUGGAUGGGGACUGCCCGAUCGCGGGGGAUAACUACUGGAAACGAUAGCUAAUACCGCAUACUAUCGGAUAACCCAUAUGGGAUUAGCUAGUAGGUGAGGUAAUGGCUCACCUAGGCGACGAUCCCUAGCUGGGCUGAUAGGAUGAUCAGCCACACUGGGACUGAGAGACGGCCCAGAGUCCUACGGAGGCAUCAGUGGGGAACAUUUAACAAUGGGCGCAAGCCGGAUGCAGCCAUGCCGCGUGUAUGAAGAAGGCACUAGGGUUGUAAAGGACUUUCAGUCGGGAGGCGUUACCGAAAGAAUAAGCACCGGCUAACUCCGUGCCAGCAGCCGCGGUAAUUC